UACGUAGGGGGCUAGCGUUGUCCGGAAUCAUUGGGCGUAAAGAGCGUGUAGGCGGUCCGGUAAGUCCGCUGUGAAAGUCGGGGGCUCAACCCUCGAAUGCCGGUGGAUACUGUCGGGCUAGAGUGCGGAAGAGGCGAGUGGAAUUCCUGGUGUAGCGGUGAAAUGCGCAGAUAUCUGGAGGAACACCGGUGGCGAAGGCGGCAUCCUGGACCGGCAUUGACGCUGAGGCGCGAAAGCCAGGGGAGCAAAGCGGG
rnacentral:rRNA from 1 species